rnacentral:lncRNA from 1 species
CCACAGCCCACUCCAUUACCUAGCCCGGCGUGGCUACAAUGGAGGCGGCUGUACCGUUGACCGACGCUGGAUCCCGCAAGACGACGCCCGUCGUACCGCACGCGUCCUGCGUGGAGAGCACGCGCCAAUCCCAUAGGCUAGCCGGCGGGUCCCAUAGCUAGAUGGGACCUUGAAGCCGGGGGCCCCUCAAGCGACAAGACUAAACCUCGGUGGUCCCCCUAGCCGGCCUGAGAGGCUGCCAGCGGGGUCCACCCAUACUGUACCUUGUAUCCAUUUUGUAGGCCGGUGGGUUCGACUAUAAAACCCCCUGCCCCCCUCCAAGCAGAGGGUCGGCCAUUCUCACACCCACACACACCAC